AUGCUGCUGUUUCCAGUCCUUCUUGCAACUUCGUUUUGGUCCUGUGUGGACACGCAGUCAGUGCCAGUGCAAACCCCGGAGAUGCAGACGCAGAUGAAGGGCACUUCUGCCAGAAUGUCAUGUCAGCUGGAGGGCAACCACAUUGUACACUGGUACAGGCAGCUUCCCGGAGAGCCGCCAAAGAGGAUCCUGUACGUGUCUGCAGGGACACCUGUUUUUGAGGACAUCAAUGAUAGAAAUAGAUUUCAAGUUCAGAAUAAUCCUGCUCGAUCCAUGUAUAAUAUAGAGAUAAAUUCUUUAACCCCAAGCGAUUCUGGCAUUUAUUACUGUGCAUACUGGACAUACUGGACAUACCACAGAAUUAGUUUGGCAAAGUCCCCUGAGACCAGAUGGAAAGUUUGGAGCAAGAACGACAUAGCCUUUGGUGGAGGAGGAUCAGGCUAG